rnacentral:rRNA from 1 species
UACGAAAGGGGGCUAGCGUUGCUCGGAAUCACUGGGCGUAAAGGGUGCGUAGGCGGGUCUUUUAAGUCAGGGGUGAAAUCCUGGAGCUCAACUCCAGAACUGCCUUUGAUACUGAGGAUCUUGAGUUCGGGAGAGGUGAGUGGAACUGCGAGUGUAGAGGUGAAAUUCGUAGAUAUUCGCAAGAACACCAGUGGCGAAGGCGGCUCACUGGCCCGAUACUGACGCUGAGGCACGAAAGCGUGGGAGCAAACAGG